rnacentral:hammerhead_ribozyme from 1 species
AUCCAGAUGAAGAGUCCCAAAUAGGGUGAAGUGCACACCCUGGAU